rnacentral:lncRNA from 1 species
ACAAAUACAACAGUUGCAAAGAACACAAUUCUUAAGCAAUACAGGUACUAUAAUAAAGCAAUCAACUAUUAUAAGUAAGCCACAUAUCAGCUGCUAUCAUAUUCCUAAUAGCUUCUUCCCUUCUUGUUUCCUCAUGUAUAUCCCUAACACCAAAUGGAAUAGAUUCCUCAUGAGAAGCAUUUUUAAGUUCUUCAUCAACCUCUCUUAGAAGUUCAUCAUUUGGAUUCUCUUUCCGCAAAAAGUUGUGCAAAAUACAACGUGAAAAUAUAAUGAGAUUGAGAUUCUUCAACUAAUAGUGUAGUUCAUUAGCGCUUGAAAUAAUUAGAAAGUGUUUUUUGAGAACUCCGAUUGCAUGUUCAAUCACAUUUCAUAAAAAAGAAUGACGAAAAUUGAGUGACUCAUGAGCAUUUAGUGGUGGCUUCCUAGAGUAUUCACUCAAGUGGUACUGUUCUCCCCUACAUGGGUAGUAAUUAAUCCACCCUGCAAUAUAAAGCUAGCAUUUACUAGGCAAAACUUACUUGAAAACAUUACGUGAAGUUAUAAAUUUUUUUUGAAACCUAUACACUACAUUUUGAAAUUCAAACUUUUUAAUCACCUUCUAGAAUAAUUAAAGGAUCAUCAGCUCUCGUUAAUGCAUGUUUCCUUACUCUUGAAUUUGAUGUGGUCCCCUCCCACCCAACAAGGACGUAUGUAAAAGUCAAGUCGAAUGCAUAAGCCACCAAAACAUUUUGUGUGGGGAAAUCUUUUCUCCCAUGGAAUUUUGGAGCAACAACUUUGGACACUUUGACACGUAUGUGUGUUCCGUUGAUCGCACCAAUAAAUCCUAAAAUUAAUUGCUCAUUAAUUAAAUAAAAUUAUAUGCAUUUACAAAAACUUAAUCAAACAAUUUUAACAUAUUUACCUUAAAAAAUGGAAAGGACUUAGGAUUGUUGGCUAUUUCUGAUGGCACUCGUGAUCCAUUAAGCUGAUUAAGAAAUCUAUCAGCCAGUUCUAUUAUAGAUCGUAUGACAUUAUGAAAAUGACGACUUGUUGUCUCUCCUUAUCGUUGAAAAUGCCAAGACAUGACUUGAUUUCUCUAAUUGUGUUCUACUAAGUAAAGUGUUUUAAUUAUUUAUUUCUCUACAGUUAUAUGAAUAGUAGAUCUAAGUCCACAUUUUGUAACUAGAAGAUGACAUAACUUCGUAAAUGAUGGAGCUGUCAUCCUAAUAAUGUGCCGAUAUAACUCACUUGAUAUCAAGCUUUUCAUAAGCUUGGCUCGAACUUUCUCACCUUCAAGCCUUAGUUCAUGUACAUGACUAAGUUUUCUCAUUUUAUGAAUAUAAAUUCCUACAAGCAUCACUAAAACUCCUGUUAACAUUGCUAUGCAUUCUAUAUGAUCCAUCUGAAAAUGAGUAUGAGAUAUCAAAUGUGUAUCUACUGACGAGGUAAUUAACUAUACGGUAGUGUUUUAACAUAUAAGGAAAGCAUUCAAAUUCGAAUAGCCACUUGCAUGAGAAAUAAAGGAAAAAAUAAAAACAAAGAAAAAAGAUUCUAACAACAAUGAAUCAAGAAAUAAUCGAGCUGAAUUCUAACAGAACAGAGAAGCAUGACAUGAGCCACAAUUCUCACAUACACAAGAGUUCCUUGACUAUGAUGUGUGUUUUGGUAUAACAACUAUUCCUUUUGCAACAAAACUAUAUAUUAAAGAAAAGGUAAGGUAAAGCGAAAAGUUUUCCAUCAAAUAACCAAUUAAAAUCACUACUAUGAAAAUAUCUACUAGUUUUAUUUAUUCUUUAUUUUAUCCCUAAAUUCUAAUAUUUUAUAUUCUGAUAUAAAACUAAGGUUCCAUUUACAAUUAUCCAUUAAUUUUACUUUGAAUUUGUUCUCAAUUUUUUUCUUUCAAAUCAUAGAAAUAAACUUCUAGGAAACUUGUUAUUCUCCACAACCCUUUUCUUCAAGUUUCCUUUCAUUUUCUUUGUUUUUCUUAAGUUCUUAUUUGAAAAUUCAUUUUUCCUUUCAAUACACAAUUGUACCCAAAAUCUUAGUUUCUAGAAUUAGCAACAGCCACUACACACAAUUACAACAUGUCUCUAGCCUCUCUACUAAGAUUCAGCUUCAGCUUUAGCUCAAACAACAUUACACUGGGCUGGAAUUGCUAAUAUUGAUUAACAAUAUUCCUAAAAUUCCAGAAUAUAUAACUAAUAUUUAUUGUUUAUGCUCUUCUAUUUUCACUAGGUUGGAAUUUCUUUAAAGUUUAUAUGUUUUAUCUUUAGUUUAGAUACAUAUUUCUUAGGACGAAAAGGAUACACCCUUCGUAUACAGCAAUUUUGCAUGUUUGGAUGUAGAAGCACAAAAUUGUUUUAGCAAUUAAUAAGAGAUCUAAGUAAAGUUAUGCAUAGGUGUAAAUAGAUUCCACAAAUGGUGCAAUUUACUGACAUUUUAUGUUCUACCAUGCACUUAUUUUUUUAUGGCAUCCAAAAGAGAAACAACCAUGUCUCUUACCUUAAGAACUCCAUAUAUCUACCAUAUCUCCUCCCAUUCGGACCAUCUAUCAUCCAGUCCUCUUUGCCAACUGAUCAUAGGGUCUGUUCAAUUCAUCAUCUCAGCCAACAUAGGCCACACACAUACCACAACAAAGAUGGCCAGGCACACACACGUAGACUCGCCUAUUCAGGCUUCCCAAAAUAGAAUGACAACAACACCAAAUAACAAUCUCCACUCAAUCGACCAUGAAGGAACUAAAACCAAUCAAACAAAAUGAAAACGAUGACGAAAAAAAACAAAAAAAUGGAAAACACAUACCAGUAGAGAUAAUAAACUGGAAACAGAACAAGAAAGGAGAAAUGAAGAGAGAAAUCAGAGGCCUUUACCUGAUCGAACAAAAGAAGUCGAAGAUGAAGAUGGUUUGCGGUGGGUAGUUCUGCGUCAGGUUUAGAAGAAGAAGAAAGAUAAACCCUA